rnacentral:rRNA from 1 species
AGAGUUUGAUCCUGGCUCAGAUUGAACGCUGGCGGCAUGCUUUACACAUGCAAGUCGAACGGCAGCACGGGUGCUUGCACCUGGUGGCGAGUGGCGGACGGGUGAGUAAUACAUCGGAACGUGUCCUGAAGUGGGGGAUAACGCAUCGAAAGAUGUGCUAAUACCGCAUAUACUCUGAGGAGUAAAGUAGGGGAUCGAAAGACCUUAUGCUUUUGGAGCGGCCGAUGUCUGAUUAGCUAGUUGGUGGGGUAAUUGCCUACCAAGGCGACGAUCAGUAGUUGGUCUGAGAGGACGGCCAGCCACACUGGGACUGGGACACGGCCCAGACUCCUACGGGAGGCAGCAGUGGGGAAUUUUGGACAAUGGGCGCAAGCCUGAUCCAGCAAUGCCGCGUGAGUGAAGAAGGCCUUCGGGUUGUAAAGCUCUUUCAGUUGAGAAGAAAAGAUUGUAACUAAUAAUUACAGUUCAUGACGGUAUCAACAGAAGAAGCACCGGCUAACUACGUGCCAGCAGCCGCGGUAAUACGUAGGGUGCGAGCGUUAAUCGGAAUUACUGGGCGUAAAGGGUGCGCAGGCGGUUCUGUAAGUCAGAUGUGAAAUCCCCGGGCUUAACCUGGGAACUGCGUUUGAAACUACAGAGCUAGAGUGUGGCAGAGGGGGGUGGAAUUCCAUGUGUAGCAGUGAAAUGCGUAGAGAUAUGGAAGAACAUCGAUGGCGAAGGCAGCCCCCUGGGUUAACACUGACGCUCAUGCACGAAAGCGUGGGGAGCAAACAGGAUUAGAUACCCUGGUAGUCCAA